rnacentral:ncRNA from 1 species
AGAUAUACCCCAAACUUCGGUUUGGGAAAAGGUCGGGAUGAGCUAACGUUCCCGGCCCCUACUGUGAGUUGCCUUUUAAGGCAGCGAGAUUAUCUUCGGAUAAUUAUAUGCGGCAGGCACAUGUCACCGGCUUCAACGAAAAGGUUCGUGCCUUUUCGGUUUAACACGUAAUUGAAGUCUGGCGGUGAGCGGCAACUUAAAGUGAAGCAAUAAAAAUGCACACUAGAGUAAGAACCAGCUGCAAACCGAGUGAUGCUCCAAGUUCCGGUUCGGAACAAAAGAGCAAACACAGUCGGUCACCGACCGACAGUUGCUACUGUGAGUUAGUGCGGAGUAAAUAACGUAGUUCGACAGUGUGAACGAAAAAAAUGCUGUUAGAUCGUAGGGGUGUCGCAAUCAAUACGGGAAAAAGAACUGCGGCUUCGCGGAGUGAGCGAACCAAGUGAGAGGCGCCCGGAUACGGGCAGUGAUCAUGGAAGCGCGAUAAAAUCCGAAGCGCGGGAGGCUGUAGAAAGGCCGUCCGCUUGAGACAAUAAAAGCAACUUGAGGGUUAAGAGACAAGACCCGUUGCCUAAGGCAAACGAUCGAUGACGAAAGAAGUCGAUGCUGACCUUGGGCUGCAGGAACGGAAGAGGAGAUCUCAAUCACUACCGAUCCGUGUUCGGACUGUGAGUGUCGGCAGACAAGCGCAAAACCGGGCAGAGAAGUCUCACCCAACAAAGAACCAGCGGUUACGCUGGAAUCAGGUUCUGCUGUGGGACCGAAACGUAUUGCAAUCGUUCUUGCGGUAUGACGCAGCGUCGGGGAACUGGCAGCCAAUAAUCACUCGACGGGUGAUGAGGGCGCCCAAUGCCAGUGAAUCGAGGAAAGAGAGCGUGGCGAGCUCC